UAUUUCUUUUAAUUUUGAUAAUUAUAACUGACAACGAAUGAAAACCCCAACUUCAGUAUCUCAGAAAAUUUGAAUAUUACUUAACAUCAAUACAGAUUCACCAA